rnacentral:snRNA from 1 species
AUACUUACCUGGUACAGAGAAAACCGUGAUCAAAAAUGGCGGUUUCCCCAGGAGGAGGCCCUUCCAUUGCACUUCGGUUGGGCUGAUGCCUGCGAUAGUCCCAAAUGUGGACUACUCGGGUACGCAAUUUGUACGUGUGGGG